AAAAAUGUUGAAUUUUGUCCUUUGGUUAGCUGUAACGGGUUAAUUUAGAAAAAGGGGUGUGGCCAAACAUACCCCAAAGCCUAUAAAACCUAAAGGAAAACUCAAAACUUUAUGAAACUCAGUGAAAUCAUGUAACAGGUGACUCUUAACAAGCAUGCAAAGUUUCAUGGAGAUCAGACCAUAGGUGGCGCUAUAACAGUAGAAAAGGUCUCAAAACACAAGAUUUAUAUGGUAAAUGGCCUCAAAUUGUUUGAAAAUGUUCAUAUAUUCACUCAAAAACACUAAAUCUUCAUAUCAUAUGAUAAAUCUCCUCAUUCUGAACAACUUUGCCUCUGGGACCAAUGUUGUCAAUAAAGCUGUUAAUUAAAUAUUCAAGAUUAUUUAAAAAAGUUACUUUGGCAUACUUGUGAUACGGUUUAAGAUGAAAAUCAAUAAAACCACUGAAGUACAAUUCUCUAGACUCUGAAGGUCAAUAAUUAUCAAAAACAUGUUGAACAAUUGCAUUUGGGCAACUAUAAACCAAUAAUUUUAUAAUAUGUUAUUUGCAUAGUGUACACAAAGGCCUAUUUAUACAAACAGAAAGCCCACAAAUUAUCAAAACUGUGUAAAAUAAUGCAUGAUUUCAUUCUAAACAAGCAUGCAAAAUUUAAGAGAGAUUGGGCAAAAAAAAAUUACAACACUAUAACAGUUAUGUUUUAAAACACAGUGUUGUUUGAGUAAAUGCAAUUUAUAACCACUAGAUGGCAGCGGAAGACCACUAAUGGGCUCAUUCAGUAAAGUUGAACAGUACUGUU